AGAUUGUGUCCUUCCAGAGGAGGAAAUCUACUUCUAGACUUCUAGAAUCAGCAUCUCCUCAUCCAUGGUGUCAUCGGGGUGAAAUGACGUCUAAAAACCUUUCACUUGUUCGUCUCCGCCCGUUUGCAUGGUGUGAAAUACGAUCCUCCUGAAACACGGAGUGUUUUAUUUUGAAAAGAAGCCGGAUGUUUUAUUUUGUGUCUGUGCCCGACUUCCUUUCCAGCACGGGUGAAUCUGUGCUGAAUUUAUCCGCCAUGCUCCGGCGUCCGGAAAAAAUAGAACUCUUGUGAUCAGCUGAGGAGUCCGGCGAUCGGCAGAGGAACGGAAAGAAGUCGGUGUAAAUUGACACGUUAACUUGAAUGGUUACGAUCAGCUACGAUCGGAGGAUACGACCUUUUAGGAGACGAUCAGGAUGAAGGUGGAGAUUGUGGGUCAGACACAGUGAGAUUUCCUACAUCACAAAUCCAAGCUCCGCCCCCAGGGCAUUGCUAUGAAGGCCAGACUUGAACAAGUGGAGUUGUCGAUCGCAAACAAGUGUGUGCGCUGUCUCUGCCCAUGACUCAGAGGCGUAAUGCUAAUGAUCUACUGGAGCUCUGCAGAAGAGAAGCCCCUCCCAUCGUUUAUUUUUCCCGCUCC
rnacentral:lncRNA from 1 species